GAUAUAGGGACGGGUACAGCUACCGUUACAAGUAAUUUAUUGUAUACCUGUAAGCAACGAUAAGCCAAAGGUUAUGAAAAAACGAUUCGGAGUUGAAUUGAUAGUGAUGCAAUUUGUCAACAAUUAUAUAUGUUAUAUUAUAGUAAAUUGUUUAAAUGGGGUUUAUAUAUUUUCUUUGAUAAUAUUUCAUUCAUCUACCGAUUUUCCCGUUUCUCGCGGUUGUUCCACGUUUCUCCUGGUUUUUUACAUUUGCUGGGAAAAUUCUUGAAAAAUCGAAAAACAACCUCUUUAAAUUAUCUCUCCAGUGAAAUUUCCUUUUAGAAAACAUUGAUAUCAUAUAGAAUUUGGGAAAAAUGGCUG